GACGAACGCUGGCGGCGUGCUUAGCACAUGCAAGUCGAACGGAAAGGCCCUGCUUUUGUGGGGUGCUCGAGUGGCGAACGGGUGAGUAACACGUGAGUAACCUGCCCUUGACUUUGGGAUAACUUCAGGAAACUGGGGCUAAUACCGGAUAGGAGCUCCUGCUGCAUGGUGGGGGUUGGAAAGUUUCGGCGGUUGGGGAUGGACUCGCGGCUUAUCAGCUGGUUGGUGGGGUAGUGGCUUACCAAGGCUUUGACGGGUAGCCGGCCUGAGAGGGUGACCGGCCACAUUGGGACUGAGAUACGGCCCAGACUCCUACGGGAGGCAGCAGUGGGGAAUAUUGCACAAUGGGCGGAAGCCUGAUGCAGCAACGCCGCGUGCGGGAUGACGGCCUUCGGGUUGUAAACCGCUUUCGCCUGUGACGAAGCGUGAGUGACGGUAAUGGGUAAAGAAGCACCGGCUAACUACGUG
rnacentral:rRNA from 1 species